rnacentral:rRNA from 1 species
CGCGUAGGCGGCAAGGUGUGUGAGGUGUGAAAUCCAUGGGCUCAACCCAUGAAGUGCGCCUCAAACUGCUUUGCUUGAGUUCGGGAGGGGAGAUCGGAAUACAGGGUGUAGCGGUGAAAUGCGUUGAUAUCCUGUAGAACACCGGUGGCGAAGGCGGAUCUCUGGAACGAUACUGACGCUGAGGCGCGAAAGUAGGGGGAGCAAACA